AAUUAUAAAAUAUAUUAAUAACAUUCCAUACAAAACGGCCUAUGUUGCAUCAAUAUGAGUCAUAAACAGUUAUUGUAGUGUCAAAAUGGACUACAAAGUGUAACUAGGAUCAUUUUGGUACAGUAAUAAAGUCAAUCUUGCCUAAAACAGAGUUUGAAACAUCCUUGCGUCACAACAGGUAAAAAAAAAGGUUUGGUUUCGAUUUGAAGAUGUCAGUUUGCCCACUAACAUGGGGUGAACAGCUGCAGUGAUUGCUCUCUAUCCAAUAGCAUAGAAAGUAAGACAGACCUGCCCAGCAGCUCCGACUUCAUUUACAUAAGACAACACGCCACACAUUUUUUUAUUUGAGAAAUACUGCACCAAACAAUUUAGUUAUAUGUAAAAUUGCACAACAAAAUUAAUUAGAUUUUUUGUAAGUUGUCUUAGAUUCAUUCUGGGGAAUUUGAGGAAGUGAAAUAGGCUUCAUGGGGGUAAAAACUUAAUUAACCACACGUGGAAAUGGUCAGAAAACACACCUCCAAGACUGAAAUCUCACGAGCAACAGAAAAACACACGUGCCAAUCGCCGUGUUCAGUGGCCCUUUAAGAGUAGUGGCUACUGCAAUUAACCAUCAUACAUGCAUUCAUCUCCUCCCGGCUUGACUACUGCAACACUCUAAUCUCCGGCAUCAACUCAGCUCCCACCAAAUGCUUAAAAACUCUGCAGCCCAACUCCUUACCCACAUCCUGGCAGCACAUCAUCUCUGUCGUCCAUGAACUCCACUGGCUCCCUUGUUUCCCAACCAGUGGAGGCUCCUCAGAGGAGGAAGGGAAAGACCAUCCUCCUCAGUGAAAUUUCAUAAAAAUAGUGAAACAUUAAAAAAGUUAUCCUUUUUAGAUCAAACUAUACUAAAUAUUUUCAUGUCACAAAUAAUUGAUUGAAAUACACUGUUUCGCAAUGAAGGUCUACAGUAAUUUCAACAGCACUGUCUGGGGUAGCAUCAUGGUGUAGCUGGAGGACAGCUAGCUUCCGUCCUCCUCUGGCUACAUUGACUUCAAUACAAAACCUGGGAGGCUUGUAGGGCUCACCCCCUUCCAUUGACCUACAUGGUAAGUAUGACCACUUCUGGAGGACAUCCUCCAACCAAUCAAAGCUUUUGCAGUAUGAAUUGACAGGUUGUCCAUCCAAUCAUAUAAUUAGGAUUAGAGAAUUAACCUAGGUGUUGUAUUGGGAUUGUGCCACAGAGCAUUAUGGGGGUUAUAUGUGUUGAGAAGCUUGGUGUCAUUGUUGGAUAGAGAUUAAGAGUGAUAGUGGAGAAUUUCUUUAUUAUUCCGUUCAAAUUCGUUUUUUCAAAUUACAGGAGACGGAGGAGGUUUAUUAUAAAUAGUUUUUGGGGGUUUUAGAACUUUAUUUUUGUGUCCAGUUAGUGCAAUGUAUUUAAAUGUGCCUUGCUAACUCCAGUAGCUAGCUAGCUACCAGCGCGAGUGUGCAGUUUUCUCCGCCAGAAUGGCCAAUUCUGCCGAAAAAUACUUUUUGUUGAAGAACCACUUUCAUUCUCUGGGGUACACGGAAAAGGUGUGAAUUGAAAGCGAAGGUCGACCUCUGCCUGAGAUCAGUUUCAUGAAGAAGGAUGAAAAGGUGAGGGCGUUCAAUACCAACUGGUAUCAAAUGUAUAGCUGGUUAACAGGGAGCCUUUCAUCAAGCCGCCUGCAUUGCUGGCCUUGCCUGCUUUUUGGAAAGUCUGAAUGUUGGUUGAAAGGUGGGUACAGUGACCUGAAGUACAUGGAUCGUUUAGCUGAACGGCAAAACAAAUGCAGAGAGCAUAUAAAUGCUCUCAUCAGAUUCAAGCUGCUGGGAAAAUCUGCAUUGAUUAUGACGAAGGCUUGCGUAUUCAAACUACGCAACAUAACGAGAAAGUAAGAAGAAACAGGGAUGUUCUCCAAAGGCUUAUCAACACCACUGUGUGUAUGGGCAUGAGGACACGGCGAGAGGGAAAUUUCCGCCAACAAGUGCGACUACAAGGAGCUUGCAGAGGGUCCAGAGUUUUCCUAGUUAGGUGAACGCAUAAGGAAAAACUCCAGGCCCCAGGGGGUAGGCCCCACCGCUCUGGGUCCAAUGGUGCACCAGUCGGCUUGCAGUUGUCAAUUAUCAUCAGUCAAAUCCUGUCCUGCACUGAAGUCAAGCCUCUGAACACC